CAACCUUGGAAGAGUAACAAGAGAGGGAGAGAGAGAAAGAGCAGGGAAAAAACAACAACAUUAUUGAUCACUCAAAAGGACUACAGGGUUAAAGGCUAAUCUUUCCCCCAGGCACAAAUACAAUAUAUUAAAUAUUUAAAAUAAAUUGGUAACACAUUCAUGCAUUUAUGGAAUGUUAGCUGUGAAACUACCUGCUUUGAAUCAAAACAUCAAUAAAAAAAAAGCUACUUUUUCCUCUAACGACACGUUACAGAGGGAGUGACCUGUCUAACGUGCCGGGGAGACCGAGCUGAUCCUCUCGGUAAUGCAGAGGGACGACCAGCUUUAUUCAUAAUAAACACACAACCCGAACGCCGACCACCUGCAUCCAAAGCUUCAACAGGUGAUGCAUUAAAGCAGACUGUCCCACACUCUACAUGAUGCUACACGGCUGAUGGUUAGACGAGCUGAGAAAGCAGAAGCGGUUGAAUCACCACCCCUGUCUAGAGCAUGACCGGGUUAUGCUUGAACGAGUUGAUGUUCCCAAGAUUUACUCACUG